rnacentral:lncRNA from 1 species
CCUUGAGGCAGAAGGGCAGCCAUUCCGGGGAGCACUCCACUGGGUCCCCAGAUCUAACAUGUCAAGAUUAAGACCUGAGGAUUUGGAGGCUGAGAGGCAAGAAAGGGAGCAUCCGAGUCACCCUAAAGAGAGAGUGGAGAGAAGAGGAUAUUGUGGCAAAGAAUUCUCCUAGUUUUGCUCUCAGAGCUGAGCUUUGAUCCAUUGGAAUGCCUGUGAUCUUUAGGACUUCUUCUACUCCUCUCUGGAAGUCUAUUCUCCAACUCGAAAUUUGGUUUUCAGUCUCAUUCUGUGAUUGAGGCCACCGAAGAGUCACAAAGUUUUGCAAUAGAGAUUUCAUCUUGACCAUAUUCAAGUGAUUUUCUAUAUUACAACUGAAAUACAAUGUUUGUAUCCAAGUUCUACAUGAUCAGGCAAGUGCCUACCUCUGUGACCUUAUCUUUUUACUCACCCUCCUCUUCCAUCACAGAAGGAUAUUUGUCUCCUGGCUGCUUCUCCUGCAUGCAAAGCACGCCUUUGUACUAGCCUUGUACUUGCUGUCUCCACUACCUGGACCAUUCUUCUCCCAUGUUCACAUGCCCUGAUCAUAUCAUUAGAUCUGGGCCCUAAUGUCAUUUUCUUAGAGGGACUUUCUUUAACUACCCUAUUUAAUAGUAGGGACUUUUUGUCUUCUUAGUUUGCUUUAUUUUUCUGCAUGUUGUGUAUCACUGGCUGAUAUUAAAUUAUGCAUUUACUUACUUGUUUUUUCUUUUUUUUUACUUUCUCCUUCAUUAGAAUGUAAGCUGCACAAAGGAGUGAUUUUAGCUGUCUUGCAUGCUGCUCUAUUGCCUGCACUUUAAACAAUGCCUGACAUCCAGCAAGUGCUCAAUACAUAUUUUCUGAGUGAAGAAUAAAUAAAAGAAUGAAUGAAUCAAAGAGUCUAGUCUUCAACCUCUUGAAGAAAAAGGCAGGGUAUGGGGCAGAGAGAAAACCAAGAGGACACACUUUUGCAGUACCCUCCUUCAGCUACAGAGACAACAGUCAUCAUUUUACUGACUCUGAUCUUCCCAACCGUUAGCACAAGGGCUCAAAGUGUUCAGGCCAUUGCACAGACCUUUGCUUCCUACCAAGUAGCCUUGGGUACACUCCAUUUAGUCUAUAGGCUAAGUGUUGAUUUUGGUAUGAUUGUUGGGUAAACCAUAAGACCUGAAUGGGAAGAUCGCCAGGCCUCACUGAAUUCAAACUGAGGUCACAGAGGGAAAAGACUGGGAGCAAUGGAUUUAGAUGUCGAGACCUUUUCCACUUGGAAGCAGGGUUUUUUUCUUGCUCAGACUUUUCAUUGA